rnacentral:rRNA from 1 species
UACAGAGGUCUCAAGCGUUGUUCGGAUUCAUUGGGCGUAAAGGGUGCGUAGGUGGCGCUGUAAGUCGGGUGUGAAAUUUCGGAGCUUAACUCCGAAACUGCAUUCGAUACUGCGGUGCUUGAGGACUGGAGAGGAGACUGGAAUUCAUGGUGUAGCAGUGAAAUGCGUAGAGAUCAUGAGGAAGACCAGUGGCGAAGGCGGCUCACUGGUCCGGUACUGACGCUGAGGUGCGAAAGCGUGGGGAGCAAACAGG